rnacentral:hammerhead_ribozyme from 1 species
AUCCAGCUGAUGAGCCCCAAAUAGGACGGAACGUGAGUUCUGGAU